UUUUUGAAAAUGCAUUUUGUUUUAAAUGGACAAGAUUUCAAAAAAACGUGAAUAUAAACUCAUUUGACUUCAUAUUGGUACCUGAUAGAAAAACAUGUUUGUGUUAGAAACUUUAAGAAAUCAAAAUACAGUAAAAGAGAGAGACUAAAUUCAAAAGGAAGGUUUAGUUCUGAGCCUUCUAAAUGAUAACUUCACCAUCUUUCUGUUCUAGAAAUUAAUGAUCUCUAAGCAACCCAAUCUAAUUAAAUAUCAUAAGAAAACUUAAGUUAAAUCCCCACGAACGGUAAACAAAGAAAUAGAAAUAACACAUUAAUACUCAAAACACAUAAGGUACAAGUCAAGGAAAAUCAACAAGACAUGAAUGGGAACAUCUGCUAUUCCCUCCCGGCAUUCCUUGACUUUUCAGUUCAGCUGUACUUCAGGAAAGCAAGAGAAAUGGAUGAAGAGAAAGCUGAUCUCGGGUCUGGCGGCAGCAGGGAGUCUUAAAGUGAAACUCUUGUUGGGCAGUGAACCAGGCUGAGGUCUCGGAUCCAACGAAAACUCUGAACGUAGCCUCGGAUUAAACGAGGGGGUUCAAGCUUAAACUUGGAGGGGAUAGAGGGGUAAUUCAGAGCUUUAGGAAUUUUAGGGGUAAAGGAGCGGCUGAAGCAAAAACUUAGAGGGGCGGCUCAGAGCUUUAGCAUUUUUAGGGGGUAAAGCGGCGGCUCAAAACCACGAGCCAGAAUAGAUGCCAACAACAUGUACUUAUAGGGAUGAUGUUUAGGGCUAGGGGACCAUUGAGCGGAAUAAAACUAUCCGUUUGAA
rnacentral:lncRNA from 1 species